UGUGCUCAUUAGGGCUCAAUCCUCACAAUUUAGUAGGCUUCAAGUAUUUUGAUCAAAUUUUGCACGUUUUUCUCAUACAAGAAUACCUACGAACAUAUGCAUAAUUCCAUCACAAGAGCAACAGCCUAUCAUACCAAAUCCAAUAUCCUAAUCUCAACUCUUCACAUCAUCCAUCAUAAUAUUGCCAAAGGACUCGAAACUGACUCGAAAACCAAAUCAACAGAUCAACAGAGCAAAAACACACAAAAUAAAGACACCCCCCCACACUUGGACAACACAAUGUCCUCAUUGUGUGAGAGUAUGACAGACCAAAACAGAAACCAACAGACAACUAAAGGACAGAAGCUUCAAAAACUAAAAGCAAAAAGAGAAACACUUCCCUGAACGGUAAUCAAGAAGGUGGAGGAGGGCGUAGUCCGAGAGCGUGCUCCACCGCUGCCAAUCGUGUGCUCAAGUCCACCGCCCAUUGCGGUGGAUGAGUGUCAAAGUGGGUGCACAACUCCGUGCGCAAGGUGUGAAGCUGCGGCAGGAACCAGGGUGGAGGAGUAGUGGAGUCGGUAGUGUGACUGGAAGGACCUUGGCCCCCAACUUUUCAGAAACUGGAGGGCAACCCCCAAACCUGCGAAAUUGACCAAAAC
rnacentral:lncRNA from 1 species